CAUGCUUGUUCAGCAGUAAUAUUUUGCUGUGAAUGUCCCCCUUACCUGCAUUUAUCAUGUGUUGAUUGCUCAGUUCACUGAAGCGCAGGAUGCCGAGCAGAGCCAUGGGUCAAUAAAGUAAUUUAUAAUGAUCAACCUUCUGGGCAGACCGUGUCAUGAACCAGUCUUUACUGUUUUCUUCUAGCAGAGAAAAUCUGUUCUCCUCUUGAUUAAUAUUUGCUNNNNNNNNNNAAAAAAAAAAAAAAAAAGGCACAGAAAAUUUACUAGCCUUUAUAACAAACUUUUAUACUUAACAGAGAAAUUGGAUGAUGUGUCCAAAACUUGUAUGUUGCUCUUGAAUCCAGUAUAACAUCAACGAGUAUUUAUUUUUAAUCUAUGUGUAUCUGAUAGGUAUAUUCAUCAAUAUGUGACACAUUUAAUGACAACAGAAGUUGAUUUUAGGGUGACUUCAAGUCAGGGAAAAUGACUUCUCUUAGAUGUGGCAAAACCUGACGUGCAAACUGGUUAUUAUGAUUACACAAGCAGUAAAAUCAUCUGCGAUGCAACACAUGGCCUGGUGCCAUGUCACACCUGCAGCAGGCCCACAGGGACAAAGAAGCACACUGCUGCGGAGCAGCCCCGCUGGUUGUGGCUGCCCUUUAUCUUUGCCUUCCAGGCACCUGCUUGGGAAAGGUGGUGAGGCCUCCUGCCCUCCUGGAACCUCCUGGAACCUUCAGGAGUGGGAGCAGGGGCCUGUACCUGUGCCCUGCUGGGGGGCUGCAACAUAAUGGCAGGUGUUACAGCCCUGGAGGGCCGGACCUGCCAUGUCUGCAGGCUGCAGGGCUCGGCGGGGACACGGGAGAAGCACUGGGGACCUGCACUGCAAGGAGCUGGGUUCCCAACGUGUUCUGCUUUCGGGCACUCCAAAAACUUAGAGAUACUGGAGAUGAUGGUAAUAUUGCUACUAAACUUGUGAGGAAGGCAGUAACCCCUACAAAGUGAUGCUGGGGUAACCGCUAUCCUAAGGAGGAGGUUUGAGUAUGAUAUGAAUUCUGUAAAUGAGGUGAAACUAUUCCAUGCAGGAGGGUAGGUUCUCAUUUAUUAUUCCCUUAAAGAACAGAGUUUUUCAUCAAUAAUUGAGUUUUACAAAUCAUUAUUAUGCUGUAAAUUAUUAAGUUGCUUAAAUUAUUCUUUGUAUGUAAUAUGCAAGUUUGAAGGUAUAAUAGAAUUUUUUAUUUUUCAC
rnacentral:lncRNA from 1 species